rnacentral:rRNA from 1 species
GUCCUGGCCAUAAACGAUGAACACUAGGUGUCGGAGGCUUCGACCCCUUCGGCGCCGCCGCUAACGCAUUAAGUGUUCCGCCUGGGGAGUACGGCCGCAAGGUUAAAACUCAAAGGAAUUGACGGGGGCCCGCACAAGCAGUGGAGCAUGUGGUUUAAUUCGAUGCUACGCGAAAAACCUUACCAGGGUUUGACAUCCCGGUGUAACCCCCUAGAAAUAGGGGGCCCCUUCGGGCACCGGUGACAGGUGGUGCAUGGUUGUCGU